AGUGAACGCUGGCGGUAGGCCUAACACAUGCAAGUCGAACGGCAGCACAGUAAGAGCUUGCUCUUACGGGUGGCGAGUGGCGGACGGGUGAGGAAUACAUCGGAAUCUACUUUUUCGGGUGGGAUAAGGUAGGGAAACUUACGCUAAUACCGCAUACCACCUACGGGUGAAAGCAGUGGAUCUUCGCACCUUGCGCGAUUGAAUGAGCCGAUGUCGGAUUAGCUAGUUGGCGGGGUAAAGGCCCACCAAGGCGACGAUCCGUAGCUGGUCUGAGAGGAUGAUCAGCCACACGGGAGCUGAGACACGGACCAGACUCCUACGGGAGGCAGCAGUGGGGAAUAUUGGACAAUGGGCGCAAGCCUGAUCCAGCCAUACCGCGUGGGUGAAGAAGGCCUUCGGGUUGGAAAGCCCUUUUGUUGGGAAAGAAAAGCAGCAGGUUAAUACCCCGCGGUUCUGACGGUACCCAAAGAAUAAGCACCGGCUAACUUCGUG
rnacentral:rRNA from 1 species